rnacentral:lncRNA from 1 species
AGAUACAGCGCUUUCUGAACUGUAGCCAUUUUCAUUUUGAACCAAAAAUGCAGAUGUAAAAUAAAACUAAUAGGUAAUUAAGAAAAAAGGAGGCAGUUUUCAUCUGUCAUGUGAAAAGUCAUUCAUUCCACAAAUACUUGCUGAGGGUUUGCUGUGAUAAAUAUAAUCUAGACAAUAACAAACAACAGAAAGGUUAAAAUAGAUGCUAAAAGUUUAUAAAGUUUGUGCACUUUAAUUAGAUGCCAUUCUCUCCUAUAUUAUAACUAAUCCAAAGAGCUUGAUGAACGAAAAUGCCAAUCCCUGUGCCUCCCCACCGCUGCCCCUGCUAAGAACUGCCUUGGCUCAGCCUGAAGGAUGACAAAGCUUAAGGAGGCAGAGAUGUCCUAUGUAGGACUCGGCUCUUCUGGCUGCAGCUGAUGAGGCCCGAUCAGGGCCACCAAUCCUGUGAGAGGUCAGAACCGUAGGAAAAGCCCCUGCAAUCAGAUUCCUUAUCUCAUGAAUUCAAUCCAGGUCUCUAUCUGGUCUCUGCAGCUAAGCCAAAGCCAAAAGGUAAUGAUGGAAACUGAGGCCAGCAUGGCCAUGUGUGGGCCAGAGUCACAGAGGAGCAAAAACUGAGUGAGCAAAGAAGCCAGCAGUAGAGAAAGGAGAAAAGAACAGAUGCAAAGGCACCUUGAGGAGCAAAGAACGUCUCCAAGUAGAGAGUGCCAGGCUACUCUCUACUCUGACAUUCAGUUACUUCCCACCUGGGUUAACUGAAAUGGACUUUUUUUCCUCUUGAUUUAACAGCCUUACUUGUGAAUGUUUGAACGUCUGAUAUAAAUUACAGCAGGAAAGAAGGCUGUAAAGCCAGGUAAACUGAAGAUAGAAAUGACAGCAAAGGGGUUUCCUUCCCUCUUUGGGGCAGUGGAGGGGGGGUUCCUUCUGUGGUACAGCAGUGGGUUAAGAAUCUGUAGUGGCUUAGGACGCUGUGCAGGUAUGGGUUUGAUCCUCAGCCUGGCAGAGUGGGCUAAAGGAUCCAGUGUUGCCAGAACUGUGGCAUAAGUUGCAGCUGCAGCCCAGGAACUUCUGUAUGCUGUGGGGGUGGCCUUUAAAAAAAUAAUAUAAAAUAAAUAAAUGUCAGGAAGGGGAUAAGACACAUUUAUGAAAGAACACAUAAAAUACAGAAGUCUGGGCAUACAGUGAGGUUCCCUUAUAACCUCUGGUAGUAAAUAAUAGAGUUCAUCAGAAGAGAAUCCUGUGUCCCUUCUUACGGCUUAGCCCACCCUCCUAUCACUGUGGGUGGAGCCCCUGGUCCCUUCUCUACCACUGACAACACCUCCACUUGCCAGACCCACUCUCUCUUGCCACUGAAAGACAGCAUGUCAAUAAUUUUCCCUCUCUCUCUUGCACUGUCAGAUUUUUCCUCUCAGGUGAAUCAUUCCUAUCAGCACAUUAAAGUGCUAUAAGCUCUCCACCAUGGCCUCAUACUCCCAUCCUGUGAACAUGCCACUUCUCCGCUCCUUUCAGAACAAAAUGACUGCUCUGUACUCAAUGUCACCAGUUCUACUCCUCUUCUCCCUUGAACCACUCCCUCAAAUCAAGCUUUUGCCCUCACCUGAAGAUCAAUAGCUACAUCCAUGUUGCAAAAUCUAGCGGUCAAUUCUCAGUCUUGCGUAAUGCAGUACAAAGGACACUGCAUCAUUAUGACACUUUUAUUUCAUAAGGACCUGAAAUAAAAGUGUAAUCUGCGUUUAGUUAAGCUUUUAAAUAUAUGAAUGUAACUUUCAGUUUUCAAUGUUAUAUGUAUAUAACUUUCUAACUUAUCUGUAAAUACACAGAAAUUAUUAGAAUGAGUGCUCCAACACCAUAAAAGGAUGAGGUAUAUCCAGGAGGUGGGGCUACCCCAUCACUUCACACAGUGCUUUUCUUUCUUUUUUUUGGCUACACCUGCAGCACAUGGAAGUUCCUGGGCCUCUACAACAGCUGUGGCAAUGCUAAUUUUUUAACCCACUGGGCCAGGCCAGGGAUCAAACCUGUGCUGCCACAGAGACAAUGCCAGAUCUUUAACCAGCUGCACACAGCAGGAACUCCACAUAGAAUGCUUUUCAAUCUAUGCUGUCCAAUUCAGCAGCCAAAAUAUGGUGUGACUGAGGACAUGAAAUUUUAAUAUAUUUUUAAUUUAUUUGUAUGUACAGUGGACUGGUCUGGUUUCUUAAAUGAGCCAAUAUUAUAAAGAAAAAAUAAAGACUAGGUAGUCCUCAAGAAUAAAGGAUUUUAAGUGACAUCACGACCAAAUGUAAAUACAAAAUACUUCUAUAUACUAGCAACAAACAGGUGAAGAAAAAAUUAAAACAAAUUGUUUACCAUUAUGUCGAUAAACAUAAAAUGAUUUUAGACACACUGAUCUCCAUAGUUAAAUUGGGCACAGUUCAUAAUGUACAGACUAUCCCUCAAUAAAGCUGAUUAAAAAACAUUUAGGGAUAAGUUUAACAAAAGGCAAGUAAGGUUUCCAUAUUGAAAAUGACAAAACACUGCUGAGAAAAAUGAAAGACAUAAAUUAAGAGAUGAAAUGUUCAUGGAUGGAACUCAGUAUUGUUAAGAUGUUAAUUCUCAAAAUUAUCAAGAGUCAACACAAUUGUAAUGAAAAUACUGUAGACUUUUUAUUAGAAAUUGACAAGUUAAAAUUUAUUUGGAAAUGCAAAGAACCUAGAGAAGUCAAAGCAGACUUGAAAAUUUGCCUUCAAAAUUUACUUUACAGCUAUAGUAAAUAAAACUAUGUGGUUUUGACAUAUAAACAAGAAAUACAUUUAGAGAAAAGAGCCAAGACUAUAUGGCUGAUUUUCAAUAAAGGGUGCCAAGGUAUUUCCAUUGGAGAAAGGACAGUAUUUUCAAUACAUGGCACUAAAACAAGAACCUAUCAUUUAGAAAAACAAAAUCUCAAUGAUUACCUCCAACUGUACUAAAAAAAGGUAAUUUAAGAUGUAUCAUAAACCUAGACAAAAAAGCUGAUAUAAAGUUUAUUCAUAAGAAAAUAUUUAUUUGACCCUAAGUCAGCAAAGGUUUCAGACACAAAAAGCACUAACCAUAGGGAAAAAAUAAAUUGUAAUUUAUCCAAAUUAAAACCUUGUGCUCUUCCAAAAAUAUCACUAAGAAAGUUUUGGAAAGACAAGUAUAGCCUAGAAGACAUUAUUCAUGAUAAUUUGUCAUAGUGACUUUACCUGACAGAAGACCUGCAUCUGGAAUGAAUUAUCUAUAUCCCUUGCAACUCAACCAUAAAACAUUAAACAAUAAAGGUGAAAGAGCUGAACAGAAAGUUCACAAAGAACAAAAACGAUCAAUAAGCAAAUGAAAAUGUGCUUAGGCUGGCUGCCUCUGAUGCAGAAAGGGCAGGGCACUGGGGUAGGAAGCUAGAGAGGUGGAAUCUAGAUGGCGGAGGAGUAAGAUGUGGUGCUCACCUUCUCCUACAAACACAUCGAAAGAAACCCAUCCGCAUAUAGAACGAUUCACAUAGAACAUCUACUGAACGCUGGCAGAAGACCUUAAACCACCAAAAAGGCCAGAAACCCUCCAUGUAACUGGGUAGAACAAAAGGGGAAAAAAAAGAGAGAGAAAAAGGAACACACCUAACUGAUGGGGAGACCAGCCAAGACGGAGGGACAUCAAAAACUCAGAGAAAAGCUCAAUAUCUGGACAGAGAAGGGCAAAGAAGUGAGAGAGCCGCACAGACUAUCCGUACCACCUCCCUGGACACCACAGUCUGAGACACUUGGGUUCUGGAGGUCAGUUCUGGGAAGAGGACCGGGGUUGGCUGUGUGGAGACAGCUUGAGGGAAUAAGGAGUGGUGCGCCAAGGGCUAGGGAGUGGAGUGCCACAGCCAAGAGAACAUGGGAGGAGGUCUGGGCCCACAGGAGCAGCAAGGUGCCACUGCUGGGGAAGACGAGAAGGGGUAGAAUGCCAUAGGAAUAUCUUUCCCUGCAUAUACGUGGAUUCUCGGGGGACGGGGGGGUGAUGGCAGCGAGGUGCCUCUUGUGCAGGCUGUGGGUAGCAGCACCUCCUGUGCAGUCUAAGUGUGAUGGGGCACCUCCUGCAUGGUCUACUAGCAGCAGGGCAAACCACUGCAGUCAUCUCAGACUCCAAAGGUGGGCAUCCUCCCUCGGGUAUGAACUAGGGGUCCUCCCCUGGGUAUAAACACGCCCUGCUACUGCCACUGCCAAAUGCUCUGGUCACAUCCUACCCCUGCCUGAGGGUCACUGCCACUUCCCGGUGCCCUGCAACUGGGAGCAGUCUGUGCCACCUUCCCACAGGUCCUUGCCACUGUCAGGGGCCCAGCAACCAAGGACUGGUUAAUAGCCCUGCCCAUUGCCUCCAUCUCCCUGGAAGAACACCCAGAAUCUGACUAGGGGUUCAAUGGCCUGCACACACUGAAGAAAGAGUCAGUAAGCAUCCAAACCAAAAGUAGCCCUCACAUCAAAAAUAAACAGUAAGCCCUCACAAAAUACCCA